CCUACUAGGGGAUAUGGUAUUUGUUGACAAGUCCAGAGAUAGGGUCCAUCUCAUGUGGUUAGAGUUCAUGCAGAACCUUCAUAAUCCACCCAAGUAUAGUUAGGGUAGUGCAGCCCUAUCAUGGUUAUACAGAAAAUUGUGCAAGGCAACCGAAAAGAUAGCAAAGCUAAUUGGUGGAGCAUUGAUUCUAGUCCAAUUGUGGAUAUAUGCCAGGUUCCCACAUAUGUCCCCACGGAAGGUCCCCCCACCAGAGGGUGUUUAUAGUCCACUACCACCACCAAUUCAUCUUGCCAUGAAAUUAAGUGGGAGCCAUAUGUGGAUGAAUUGAGCCGCCUUCCUCCUAAUUUUCGCAUCAAGGGAAGUAAUGUGUGGAGGUUGAAAAUUUCACUUAUAUAUUUUUGUCUUGUAGAGUUCCACCUACUUGAUCGUGUCCUCCAACAAUUUGGGCUAAAGUAGGAACAACUCGUUGAUGUUAAUACUGAUCGCGAAUUGCAUAAAAUAGAUGCGAAGGGCAAGGUAGAAAAAAAUUAGAGGGUGGAACAUGUAGUCCAUAUUCCAAAAUGGAAUGAUCAUUUUGAGUACAUCUAUCAUGGAGAAAUGCUCUCUUUAUUUGUGUCGAAUUGAAAUGGAGAAAAGGGAUUUGGGUCAUAAGUCAACAACUAGUUGUGUAGGUAGUACUUUUACUCUAGGCAUUAAGUGAGGCAAUGUAAGGCCAUAUAAAAUGUAUCAGGAAAUUUUGCAUUUGGUGGCUGUGGCUUCAAAAUAAAAAUGUUGAAAAAUGUAACAGAUUUCUUCCAAAGAUGAAAUUGUGUUGGGUGCAAUGGAAAAUUCCUUUUUAA